GAACUGCGAUAAGUAAUGUGAAUUGCUGAAUUCAGUGAAUCAUCGAGUCUUUGAACGCACAUUGCGCCCCCUGGCAUUCCGGGGGGCAUGCCUGUCCGAGCGUCAUUGCUGCCCUUCAAGCCCGGCUUGUGUGUUGGGUCGUCGUCCCCUCCGGGGGACGGGCCCGAAAGGCAGCGGCGGCACCGCGUCCGGUCCUCGAGCGUAUGGGGCUUUGUCACCCGCUCGAUAAGGACCGGCCGGGCGCCAGCCGGCGUCUCCAACCUUUUUUUCUCAGGUUGACCUCGGAUCAGGUAGGGAUACCCGCUGAACUUAAGC
rnacentral:misc_RNA from 1 species